GCAAACUUGGUCAUUUAGAGGAAGUAAAAGUCGUAACAAGGUUUCCGUAGGUGAACCUGCGGAAGGAUCAUUAACGAGUUAGGGUCUUCCAGGCCCGACCUCCCAACCCAAUGUUUACUACACCGUUUGUUGCUUCGGCGAGCCCGUCUUCACGGACCGCCGGGGGACCGUCAUAGGUCUCCUGGCCCGCGCCCGUCGGUAGCCUCUAAAACUCUUUAACCAAACAUGUUUUGACUAAGUACCAAUUGUUAAUUAAAAACAAAACUUUCAACAACGGAUCUCUUGGUUCUGGCAUCGAUGAAGAACGCAGC
rnacentral:misc_RNA from 1 species